AUGAAAACAUAUAGCUCUUUUAACCACAAUUCAUGGUUAAGGGUGGGGUUGGAGGUCUAGAACCAUAAUCUUGUUCUGUUUAACCACAAUGAGGAAAAUACCUACGUCACAGGGAACUCUGCUUCAUAUCCUGCACAGAGAGCAUAUAAACAAAGCCCUGGAAGGAACCAGAUCGCCCCAGUAUCAGUUUUGAUCAAUUACUACAUUUCACAACAGAAGAAGCAAAAGGAGACUCUACAAUGCAGUUAUUUACACUUCCGAUAUCCAUUCUUUUGGUGGGCACAUGUGUCUCUUGUCCACUGCCAAAAAAUGUGACAUGGCCCUGUUUUAGGUGUGAAGAAAACUGUUCAAGACGUGAUAUUCACAAUUUUCAGAUAACAAUAAACAACAGUUUCAAGAUUAAUGAAAAAUAUAUGAAAAAGUCCAUAGCCACUUGGGUGUACGACAAGAAAGAUGAAAAUGAAAGAAGAAUUCCUAGAAUAAUCACACAUGCUAUCUGCCAUCCCAAAUGUAGAGGAAUUAGUUCUGGAAUGACAGUGCCAAUUCAACAGCAAGUUGAUGUUUACUACCAAACACAAUGUGAACGAAGACAAUUCUACAAACUUGAAAAAUAUACAGAAAAGAUCAACCUGGGUUGCACUUGUGUUGUGAAAUAAGUGUAUAAACUGGCGUGUAAAGAGCACCAUUAUUUUAAUGCAUUUUACUGGUCUCUGUUUUCUGUAAAGAUCGCUGAUCAUGAUCAAGAUCAUAUUGGUCGACGUGAAGAAUAUACUGUUUUCGUAAAACACAUCAGUUGUGCUCUGCUGUUCAUUUGGUCUAAAGUACUCUGAAUAUAUGAAACACAAUGA